CCUCCGGACUUUGUUUGCAGAGCAGCGUGCCACGCUGCAGGGGGAACACGGUUCCCAGCUACCCUUGCAGCUCGCGGUGGUCACGUGACACGGAUCUGCCCAAUGGGAUGCUAAUGAAGGUCUGGAGGCGGGGCUUCUAGGGAAGACCAAGGCCCCGGAUCCAAGAUGGCAGCCCAGGAGAACCGCUGGCACCCGGGUUCUUGGUGGCUCAGCUUCUCGCAUGGGCAUGAAGGUUCCAACCGAGAGCAAGCCUCCGUUGCCCGCGGGUCCCCUGCGGAGUCCCCGAAUUAACUUCCGUGACCAACUCCCCGCCGACUUCAAGGUGUGAGGCCGAGCGUGACCGCGACUCUGGAAGAGCCGGCAAUGCAUGGCUUGCACGGACGCCUCGGGAAGGGACCCUGUGGUCCCGGCACCCCCACCACGUCUGCUGCUAACGCCUGAUCCAUUCCCAGCGAGGAAAGGAGCCACAGGACUGGAGAGCAGAUGAAAGCUCAGUGGGAAAGGAGGGUGGCGUUGAACUGGUCUCCGAUCUAGCGUGGGUAACGGUCCAACGGAAAGUUGCUUGCCUCGCGCUCCUCCCCGUGGUCCUGGCCUGAGCGCCAGGUGCUGUGCUGUGUGCCCCACACCCAGUCCUGCUCCCUGAUGCCCGCGCAGGGCCCCCGCCAGCAGCAGGAGGCACGUGAGCUGCUCUGUUGUGCUCCCCCGGCGGGCAGGGCCUCCCAGAGGGGAUGCCGGGGGAAGUCAUGGCUCAGAGUGGCCCGUGGGGGAGAGGCAGGAAGGGGACUGACACCCCCCCCCCCGGUUCUUCCCAUCUCCCGUCUUCCCUUGGACCGAACUCCCUGCAUUGUGGUUUCAUCUUUUCCCCAGGCUGCCAAACGCAGGUCACUGCAGGAAAGCGUUCUACCGGGGCUGGAGGAGGCUGGAGAGGCUGGAGGCCCAGCGACCACGGCUGUUUUGUAAUCGGUGGGAAAUUAAGCUGCAACGGACUCUGCCUUCUUCCCCUGAAGUUUAAGUUGCACGGGGACGACGAUC
rnacentral:lncRNA from 1 species